GUCAGGCACGUUUGUUCUGUUAAUCACCUUUUGCUGGGUUUAGCUAAGGCCCAGGCCCUGCCUUCAGGAAGCUCCCAGUUUGGAAAGGGAGGAGAUGCAGACACAGAACUCGGGGACACUGAAUCUGACAUCGUGGUUACAAGAGCCUGGUACCUAUGCUCUCCCCUCCCCCCUUCCCUUCUCCAAGGAGGGUGGGAUUCCCCUUCCCAGAGACCAAGAGAAAAGGAGGAUGGGGCUGAGCCCCCCCAUUCUCCUCUUCUCCUCCUCCUGCCCUCCCCCUUCCCUUUCUCCUUUCCUCUCCCUUCUUCACCUUCUCCAUCUUCAUCUCCAUCUCUCGCUCUCAGCCACACCCAGUCUCUGGGUGUAACAGGACUGGCCUUACAAAAUUCUCUCUCUCUCUCUGUCUCUCUGUCUGUCUGUCUGUCUCUCUCUCUCUCUCUCUCUCUCUCUCUCUCUCUCUCUCUCUCUCUGUCUCUCUCUGUCUCUCUCUCUCUCUCUCUGUCCCUCUCUGUCUCUCCUUCUCUCCCUCUCUCCUUCUCUCUCUCCUUCUCUCUCUCUCCCCCCCUCUCCUUCUCUCUCUCUCUCUCCCUCUCUCUCUCUCUCUCUCUCUCUCUGUCUCUCUCUCUCUCUCUCCUCCUCUCUCUCUCCUUCUCUCUCUCUCCCUCUCUCUCUGUCUCUGUCUCUCUCUCUCCUUCUCUCUCUCUCCCCCCCUUCCUCUCUCUCUCUGUCUCUCUCUGUCUCUGUCUCUCCUUCUCUCUCUUCCUCUCUCUCUCUCUGUCUUUCUCUGUCUCUGUCUCUCUCCCCCUUCUUCUUCUUCUUCUUCUUCUUCUUCUUCUUCUUCUUCUUCUUCUUCUUCUUCUUCUUCUUCUUCUCUCUCUAUCUCUCUCUCUCUCUCUCUCUUCUCUCUCUCUCUCUCUCUCUUCUGUCUUUCUCUGUCUCUGUCUCUGUCUGUCUGUCUGUCUCUCCCUCUCUCUCUCUCUCCUCCCCCCCCCCUCUCUCCCCCCCCCCGUCUCUCUCUCUCUCUCUGUCCCUCCCUCUCUUUCCCUCUCCCCCUUUCUCCUCCUCACUCUCCCUUUCUCUUUCUUCCUUUUCCUCAUCUCUCUCUCUCCUCCCUCUCCCUCUCCUGGGCAGCUGGGGGGACUUUUCUCUAUUACGGUUUCUGCCUCCGGCUUGUCUACACUUCCGUUUAAAGUCAAUCCUUCCAUAAUGCGGUCCCUGGCUGUUCCUCGGUUGAAGGGCUUAUUCUGGCCCCCGGGGGUGGGUGCAUUGGGCUCCACUCUCCUGAGAUGCCUGGCCCUCGCCAGCCUGAAGGGGAAUGUGUGCAGUGUUCUAACCCUUAGGCCCCUGCCGGCCUAA
ensembl:lncRNA